rnacentral:lncRNA from 1 species
UUUUCUUCUUUUGGAAGCCUCUAAUGGUUGUCAUUCAUUCAUUUAUUUAUUCAGUAUUUACUGAAAACCCACAAUGUGCCAAGCAGGGGCUGCAGACACAAUAGUGAAUAGACAGACAGAGCCAGUCCUCACGGAGGCCAUGAGCCCAGUGCAGAUGGGCAGAGGCAGAACUGGGGAUGGCCUGGUAGGGGGAAUACAUGAAAACCAAUCAGUGCUAGGUGUCCUGGCAGGGGGAGCUUAACCCACAACCAGGGCACAGUGAGGGCUUCUGAGGGAAGGUUUAGCUGGGUGAAGGAGAUGGAGGUGAGGGCAGAGAGGAGAGACGGGACAUGUCCUAGGCAGAAGGAAGUGUGUGUGCUAAGCUUUGGGGGCAAAUAGGAGUGACUUGUUCUGAUGACUCGCUGGAAAGACUGUAGCUUCUACGAACCUUUGCUGAAGUAAUAACCAUUAUUAGUGGAAUAGUCACUGCUUUCAGGACUGUUUUUAGAGAUUUCCAGUAUAGCAUCUCACUGAAUCAUCCUGACAACCCUAGCGGCAUUAACCCAAUUUAUAUAUGAAGAUGUGGCUCCACAGAAAUAAGCCUCCUCCCAGGUUACACAUGGGUGGCAGUUGUUGGGAUGGGAACCUCUGUCUCUACGGCACCAAAGCUUGUGCUGUUUACAGAGUAUGGCCUUGUGUAAGUUUUCCACUCUGAGCCCUGCAAGGAAAUCUCGAAUUUUAAUUUUAUUCUAGCUAAUUUGGAGCUAUCCAGUUUCGUAAACCUUGUCUUCGUUUGCCACCUGAGCACAAAUUAGCUUAAGUGGGCUACUCUUGAGAUGAGCCUGCAGAAAUGUACUCCUGUUCAUAAUAUGUCUCCAAGAGUAGAAUUUUAUGAAUCCACAUACAUACCCAGCAAAGACUUCACUAAGUUUUUCUUUGCAAGGAAUAUUGAGCACGUAUUAGAGCGAUUAAUUUAAAGGUGUAUGUUGAUCUUAAAACACUAAUGUGGGAAGCGAAAGACCGUAUUAUAUAAAGGAGAUGCUGAGGUGGAAGCAAAUGCUGUUCUUUUGCUUGGGCAACGGCUCAGGAAGAAUGAAAUGAAUGAAAUGCGGGCUGCCCUCUGGUGACUUUUCAGCAGAGAAGGCCAAGGGGGUGGGGAUGAACUUUAAAACCUCAUCUGAUCUGUUUGUGGCCAUAUUCUGUGAACGGUGCUGAUGUUUAUAGGUCUGUUACUAGGCGGGAACUCUCCCUGAAUCAGCAGAGUUAAGCCAUGGGGUGAUGUGAGAACACCAGUUCUUGGAAACCACCUUUCAGCAAUCUUUCAACGGGAGGGCCCGCAUGGACUCAGGCAGCACAGCCUUCCAAUGCCAAAGACCAGGCCGUAGGGACCUAGUGGGAGAAUGGAAGGACACCGAUAUCUUUGGCAGCAAAGUGCUUGUCUAAGUGGAAAUGGCCUUUGGUGCCUGUUAGCCUGAGGUUGGCCAGGCACCUCUGUCCCUGGAGGGCGAUAUUGCAGAGUAAGCUGCAAGCCCUGGCUGGAGGACUCCGACAGGUGACAGGAUGUAAGCUGAUGCAGGAGCAGGGUGGUAGGUGAGGGGUGGUGGUGGGGGGUGGCUCGGAGAGCUGCCACGAUGUCAGAGUCUGUCCUGUGAGCACGAGGUGCAGAGGACGGUGCUGACUGCCACAGGAGAGCAGAGGCAAGGCAGCCACUGAAUGUUCCAGAAUGGAGAGGAGGGAAAACGUUGUGUUUAAAACUUCUUGUGGGAAAUGGCUACCCGGCACAGGCACAACUUCAAAAGCAGGAUGGUAGAAAUGGAAACCCGAGGGAGAGACUCCAAGGUUAUUGAGGAAAAGAAUCACAAGAUGUUUUUCUCUGAUCGUCUCUUUAUUGUCCUCGUUCCUGGUUGAAUUUUGAGCUGACCAGCAGAGCCUGAAGUCUGCCGAUUGUCGUCUCUACGAAGCAGAUGACUGAAUACGGAGUUUGAUAAAUGCAAGAAGUCAAAGCCAACAUCUGAAGAAAUUUCAGCUGGGAUGCUGAUGCAAUCUCUCUUAGACGAAAUGCUUGCUUUGCUUCUAUUUCAUGCUCCUACCAAGCAGGUGAAAUUCUAAGGAUUUAGAUACCAUUACCCUAGAGAUCCCAGAAUAAAAUUCGAGUAUGAAAUUACAGAUGAUCGCCACUGGGAGGCCCCAGUGAUCUGCAAAAUGAACUUUUCCUUCUGGAUAAAUAAGUGAAAAUAAAAGAAAUGAUUUAAGCAAGUGAAUUGAAUUAUAAAAGAUGAUAUGCAAAUGCAUCAAAAGCGGCAAGGGGUAAAUAC